UAAUUGGUGUCAAUCUCUGAAGUGGGG
rnacentral:piRNA from 1 species